CAUAUCAUGCUGAAUAUACCGGUUCUCGUUAGAUCACCGAAGUCAAGCAUCAUUGGGCGCGGUCAGUACUUGGGUGGGUGACCACCUGGGAACACCGCGUGCAGU
rnacentral:rRNA from 1 species